CCUACGGGCGUCAGCAGUGGGGAAUAUUGGACAAUGGGCGAAAGCCUGAUCCAGCCAUGCCGCGUGUGUGAAGAAGGCCUUCGGGUUGUAAAGCACUUUCAGUGGGGAAGAAAGCCUUGGGGCUAAUACCCUCGAUGAAGGACAUCACCCACAGAAGAAGCACCGGCUAACUCCGUGCCAGCAGCCGCGGUAAUACGGAGGGUGCGAGCGUUAAUCGGAAUUACUGGGCGUAAAGCGCGCGUAGGCGGUCUGAUAAGCCGGUUGUGAAAGCCCCGGGCUCAACCUGGGAACGGCAUCCGGAACUGUCAGGCUAGAGUGCAGGAGAGGAAGGUAGAAUUCCCGGUGUAGCGGUGAAAUGCGUAGAGAUCGGGAGGAAUACCAGUGGCGAAGGCGGCCUUCUGGACUGACACUGACGCUGAGGUGCGAAAGCGUGGGUAGCAAACAGGAUUAGAUACCCGUGUAGUC
rnacentral:rRNA from 1 species